rnacentral:rRNA from 1 species
UGGGGAAUAUUGGACAAUGGGCGAAAGCCUGAUCCAGCCAUGCCGCGUGUGUGAAGAAGGUCUUCGGAUUGUAAAGCACUUUAAGUUGGGAGGAAGGGCAGUAAGCGAAUACCUUGCUGUUUUGACGUUACCGACAGAAUAAGCACCGGCUAACUCUGUGCCAGCAGCCGCGGUAAUACCGAGGGUGCAAGCGUUAAUCUGAAUUACUGGGCGUAAAGCGCGCGUAGGUGGUUCGUUAAGUUGAAUGUGAAAGCCCCGGGCUCAACCUGGGAACUGCAUCCAAAACUGGCGAGCUAGAGUAGGGCAGAGGGUGGUGGAAUUUCCUGUGUAGCGGUGAAAUGAGUAGAUAUAGGAAGGAAAAAAAGUGGCGAAGGCGACCACCUGGGCUCAUACUGACACUGAGGUGCGAAAGCGUGGGGAGCAAACAGG